UGGCGGACGGGUGAGUAAUGUCUGGGAAACUGCCUGAUGGAGGGGGAUAACUACUGGAAACGGUAGCUAAUACCGCAUAACGUCGCAAGACCAAAGAGGGGGACCUUCGGGCCUCUUGCCAUCAGAUGUGCCCAGAUGGGAUUAGCUAGUAGGUGGGGUAACGGCUCACCUAGGCGACGAUCCCUAGCUGGUCUGAGAGGAUGACCAGCCACACUGGAACUGAGACACGGUCCAGACUCCUACGGGAGGCAGCAGUGGGGAAUAUUGCACAAUGGGCGCAAGCCUGAUGCAGCCAUGCCGCGUGUAUGAAGAAGGCCUUCGGGUUGUAAAGUACUUUCAGCGGGGAGGAAGGUGUUGUGGUUAAUAACCGCAGCAAUUGACGUUACCCGCAGAAGAAGCACCGGCUAACUCCGUGCCAGCAGCCGCGGUAAUACGGAGGGUGCAAGCGUUAAUCGGAAUUACUGGGCGUAAAGCGCACGCAGGCGGUCUGUCAAGUCGGAUGUGAAAUCCCCGGGCUCAACCUGGGAACUGCAUUCGAACCUGGCAGGCUAGAGUCUUGUAGAAGGGGGUAGAAUUCCAGG
rnacentral:rRNA from 1 species